AGAAUGAACGCUGGCGGCAUGCCUAACACAUGCAAGUCGAACGAAGCCUUCGGGUUUAGUGGCGCACGGGUGCGUAACGCGUGGGAAUCUACCCCUUGGUUCGGAAUAACAGUUGGAAACGACUGCUAAUACCGGAUGAUGACGUAAGUCCAAAGAUUUAUCGCCGAGGGAUGAGCCCGCGUAGGAUUAGGUAGUUGGUGUGGUAAAGGCGCACCAAGCCGACGAUCCUUAGCUGGUCUGAGAGGAUGAUCAGCCACACUGGGACUGAGACACGGCCCAGACUCCUACGGGAGGCAGCAGUGGGGAAUAUUGGACAAUGGGCGCAAGCCUGAUCCAGCCAUGCCGCGUGAGUGAUGAAAGGCCCUAGGGUUGUAAAGCUCUUUCAACGGUGAAGAUAAUGACGGUAACCGUAGAAGAAGCCCGGCUAACUUCGUGCCAGCAGCCGC
rnacentral:rRNA from 1 species